rnacentral:lncRNA from 1 species
CAGCGAAAAAUGGAGGCCAAACUAUACCAAAGACACAAAGGACCUCAUCUCCGCGAAGAAGGAGAAAGAGAAAGAGAGAUCUAUGGCCACGAAUGAAAAGACGAACCAACGCGGCAACGGCUAGGAACCUUCGGACGAUGUCGACGUCGAACAAAUCAAAAAACACAAGAAAUUCGGUAAUGACGACCUAAUACAAAGAUGAA